rnacentral:ncRNA from 1 species
ACAUGUUUGCCGCCGGGUAAAUAUGUUAAGCGUCAGUUAUCCUAUCCGUAGGCCUUUUGGAGAUAGGACAUUCUGGCGCUUUAUUUU